rnacentral:tRNA from 1 species
GGAGACGUGGCCGAGUGGUUAUGGCGCUGUAAGUUCUUACACGUGCCGCACAAGUUAGGAUAACGACCUAACAUUCAAUCAGAGUUUCAGGCUGUCUACAGCAUACUAGUGGGUAAUUCCGCGUGGGUUCGAGUCCUACCGUCUUCA